UAUCGCUUUAGAGUGGCAGCCAUUAUUUUCCACCGCAUCACAACAGACUCGGGAAAAAGAUGACUAACACAGGAAAGCCAGACGGCUACUGGAGGGACCUCUGCAUAAAAUAUGCCCAGGGCCAAAACCGCUUCUCGACUGGCAAACGGCCAGGGGCCAAGAAAUGGAAAAAGGCCUUGGAGAGCAUCGAUGCUUGCCCCCUGCAGAGCCAUAGUGCUAGUAAGGAUCUGUUCGGGAGAAGCCUUCAGUGCUCCUGUGGGUUCCACAAGCCAGCAGAUCUGUCAUCAGGAGCUGGGUCCAGUGAGGCAGGAUGAGUUGAGACAGAGGGAGGGCGAGUCCGAGUCGGCUCAGAGGCAGGAAAAGGAGACACGGAUGCAGGGGGAGCCCGGUCCCACACAGAGGCAGAGGCAGGGAGAGGAGACAAGGAGGCAGGGGCAUCAGUGGCAGGACAGGAAGUGCAGUGCUACGGGUGCAACCAGCUUGUGGAGGCAGCACAUUUUUCAGAGCACCUGUCUGACCACCAUACUCAGGAGACGUGUGACACCUGUGGGGCCAAGGUGCAGGGUACUGUUGAUCUUUUGAACCAUAUUCAACAGGUUCACUAUGCAGGAUUCGUUAUGCCAUCAAUGCAAAAGCCAACAGUACAAACACCGAUGCCAACGUCAUCUCUGCUCCCUCCUUCAAAUAGCUGUGCCACGCCACACCACAUUGCAACUCCACCUAAACCAACUCCAGUAGUUUUUAAAGGUUUUCUUCCCGAUAAAUUUCGGAAAGUAAUCCAGGAAGCAGAUCAGGUGUGGAUUGCAAAGUGCCUAUAUGAGCCUACAGGUCAGCUGAAGCAGAAAUUUGAAGCCUGCUGGUUUCACCCCCCACUGGAGCCCAAACCCUCUCGUCCUGAGCCUGGAUGGUACCACCGGCAGAGGCUGUUCAUCUGGGCACCCAUGAGGAUGUGGGGAUUUCCUUAAAAUGCCCAAAAUUUUCGGGAAAAUGAACAGCUCCGGUAUAUAUAUUUUGUCAUUGAAGGAGGAAGCGGACAUAGUCCAGCUAUAUACAGCUCUCCAUGACAUGGACAAGAAGCAAUCAAGCUACACCCAGAAGGCUAGAAAGAAAGGACAGACAUCAGGAGGACCGUGGAGAGCACCGAGGAGGCCGAGUGACUCUGCUCCUGGACAGCAGGCGGCAGAGAGACUAUACAUGACUCACGGCAAAGCAGCCCAGGAUCCCGAACACCACAGGGUCACCACUGCCUCAGACACGCCAAGGAGUUUGAGCAGUCACGCUACAGGCCCAAGGACACGAGGGGGAAAACCCUGCCCAUCCCUCGGUCAAUUGUGAGCAUCUACAGCCAUAUUAGACAGCUGCUGGAGGACAGCAGGUCCAGACGGCGCUGGCUCUGGUGCCGGUGAACAACACCACGGUCUCUGCAUGGCUGCUUAGGAGGGACAAGAGGAAGGACAGGAACAUGCUGCUGCAAGGCAAUGUCCUCCCUCAACAGCUAUACCUGGCCAAGGAUCCUCUCCCUUCAUUAAACACUAUCCCGGCUGCCCCUGUGCAACAUGCACAUGAGCCGGGGUCUGGUCGCGGGGGGAGCAGCUCAAGCAGGGGGCCCCAGACUUCCCUUUCCCGGGCCACAUUGACCAGCUCUGACGGGGGGAUCCCGAGGCGUUCCCAGGCCAGUGUUGAGAUAUAAUCUCUCCACCUAGUCCUGGGUCUUCCCCGAGGUCUCCUCCCCACUGGACGUGCCUGAAACACCUCCCAAGGGAGGCGCCCAGUGGGCAUCAUUGCCAGAUGCCCGAACCACCUCAGCUGACUCCUUUCUAAGUAAAGGAGCAGCGGCUCUAAUCCGAGUUCCUCACGGAUGGCUGAGCUUCUCACCCUAUCCCUAAGGGAGACGCCAGCCACCCUUCUGAGAAAACUCAUCUCGGCCGCUUGUACCCGCGAUCUCGUCCUUUCGGUCAUCACCCAACCCUCAUGACCAUAGGUGAGGAUAGGAACGAAGAUCGACCGGUUGAUCGAGAGCUUUGCCUUGCAGCUCAGCUCUCUUUUCGUAACAACGGUGCGGUAAAGCGAACGCAAUACCGCCCCCGCUGCUCCGAUUCUCCGGCCAAUCUCACGCUCCAUAGUACCCUCACUCGCGAACAAGACCCCGAGGUACUUGAACUCCUUCACUUGGGCUAAGGACUCAUUUCCUACCCGGAGUAAGCAAUCCACCGGUUUCCUGCUAAGAGUCAUGGCCUCAGAUUUAGCGGUGCUGAUCCUCAUCCCAGCCGCUUCACACUCGGCCGCCAGCCGAUCCAGUGAGUGCUGAAGGUCACAGGCCGAUGAUCCAAUGAGGAUCCAAUAUUAUACUUCUAUACUUUUAUAUUGCUUGUAGGAUGGUCAUCUGAGAUGACCAAGGAGGGAAUUGUAACAUAAUUCACACACUCAUACCAAGGCAACAUAUGCCCUUGCCAAUAAAAAGAGGCUUUUUCCCAUGCUAAGGAGGGAUCCGGAGCCUAGGGAGGCGUCCAGCUCAUAAAGGAGGCCAUUCAUCAUGUGUCAAUUCUAGAGAUACGAGCAGUCAAGAUGUUCGAGAGACCCAGACGCUCAAGGCCACAAGAACAAGUGUAAUUCCCACACAUUGCCACAAACAAAGUUGCAAUGCCAACACAUAGCCGCAAGGGACAGCAUAAAGACACAUACGGGUAUCCAGGGGGGCGGGAGUUCAGCACCAUGCUUAGCCAAUCAGAGCACAUAACUGAGUCCACGCCUGCCCAGUAGAUAAGUCACAACACAUAGCCCAGGGGCUACAACGCUCCAGGUAACGCAUCCUUCAGAUGCCCUACUAAUUGUAUCUCCACGCGUGCCCAAACUGCCCAUACAAUUCCCCUCCUUUUGCUUCAUAGAGACUGGGCAAAAACAUUACCAAAUAAUGUGAGUUAAAGCGAUCCUGAUUCGGCAGACUUUUUCCAAAAAGAACAAGGCAGCCUCGGCAUUGUGCACGUUCCAAAAGUCCGUGGGCCUCCCCCCUGCUCAUGGUGACCAAGGCUGAUGGCGGUUGGCGUCCCUGUAGUGAUUUCCGUCGCCUAAACAACGCCACCACCGCCGACCGGUACCCAGCGCCGCACAUUAAGGACGUGUCCGCCCACCUGGCCGGUGCCGCCAUCUUUGAAGGUGGACCUGGUGCGCGGUUACCAUCAGGUGCCGUCGGCCCGCAGGAUGUGCCCAAGACGGCAGUCAUCACACCCUUUGGCCUCAAGGGUGCGGCGCAGACGUUUCAGCGCCUCAUGGACCCUGUGCUGCGGGACAUGCCGUUCCUGUUUGUUUACUUGCACGUCAUUCUCAUGGCCAGUGCGUCAGCAGACGACCGCCUGACGCGUCUACAGCAGCUGUUCGGUCGGCUCAGUGAGCAUGGUCUCAUCGUCAACCUGGCCGAAUGCGAGUUGGGCCGGUCAUCCAUCACUUUCCUUGGCCACCAUGUCACCCCGCAGGGGGGCGUUCCCCUCCCUGCCAAGGUGGACGCUGUCGCCAGUUGCCCACGCCCGCCCACUGUGAAGUCUCUGCAGGAGUUCCUGGGCAUGGUGUAGUUCUACAACCGUUUCCUCCCCCAUGCGGCCCAACUCAUGAGACCCUUGUACGACGCCUUGCGGGGCAGGAGGCCGGCGGACAUGUUGGAUUGGUCCCCAGAAAUGAACCUCUGCGACGUCUCCACCGGCCAACCGUGUCCCAUGGUACCUGCUGGUAGGGCUGGGCGAUAAACCGAUUUUAUCGAUUAACUUGAGUGUGUAGCUCACGUCGACUUGUUUAAAUGAAAAUCGGUUUUCUCUUCAACAUCCGCCAACGCUUCCCUCUCAGCUCCCUUAGUUCGGAAUGGGCUCAGCCCUCCCCCCGCACAGAGCGCGCAUUUACCAAAGUGAUACACAAACAUGAGAGCGAGUGUGACAAGUUGUAUGCAACAAUUUAUUCAUAUAUGUAUAAUCUAUUUUGAGGUAAACAUAAUUCAUUUGAAAUAUAUCUGUGUGGUUUAAUAAUUCGUCGAUCUGUUGGUAAUUCGUCGAUCUGUUGGUAAUGCCUCGGGGCUCCAGUAGGGGGAUCGCGCUCCUUUUCCUCAUUCAAUACAGAAGAGUGAAGGAAAGAGCUGCGUGUGUGUCUUUCUCAUUCUUCUCCCAUUACUAUUCCCUUUUUUUUUAAGGCAAUUACUGUUUGCAAAACACUGUAUAUUUAUGAACACAUGUUGAAAGUUUGAAUGUUAUGUUGGCCAUUUAUUAGAACUACCUCUUAUCAUUAGUAAUAUUUGAUGUUUACAGAAAUAUUUUAUUUUAUAUUUUAUAUAUUUUACAUUUUAUGUAAUGUUACAGGUUACACUGUUUACAAUGGCAGGGCCUGCCAUAAUGCCUUUUUAUGUAAAUCGAUUUAAAUCGGAAAUCUGAUUUUUUGUGAAAAAAUCAGGGAUUCUUUUUAGGCCAUAUCGCCCAGCCCUACCUGCUGGCUGGAGGUGUAAGUUCUUUGACACUAUCCACGGCCUUUCCCACCCGGGGGUGAAGGCCUCUGCCAAGCUGGUGGGGGCCAAUUUCGUCUGGCCGGGCCUGCGGAGGGACGUCAGGGCCUGGGCUGCUGUCUAUGUGGCGUACCAGCGUGCAAAGGUGACUCGUCAUACUAAGGCCCCCUUGGCAACCCUUCAAAGUGUCAGAGAGACGUUUUGACCAUGUGAAUGUAGACCUGGUGGGCCCAUUUUCCCCCUCCCGUGGUUACACCUACCUCCUCACCAUGGUGGACAGGACCACCAGGUGGCCAGAAGUGGUUCCCCUGUCCUCCACUACAUCAGCGGAAGUUGUCCGGGCGAUCAUUAUGGCUUGGGUGGCCCGUUUCGGCACACCGUCCGACCUUUCCUCGGACCGGGGUCCGAAGUUCACAUCGUAGCGGUCUGCGGUCGCCGGGGUCCUGGGGGUGAAGGUCCACCGUACCACAGCCUAUAACCCACAGAGCAACGGACUUUGCGAGCGGUUUCAUCGUGACAUGAAGGCCGCGCUCAGGGCCAGCCUUACGGGCAGUGACUGGGCUGACCGCCUCCCAUGGGUUACGCUGGGCCUUCGCUCUGCCCCCAAGGAAGAUCUUCAAGCCUCAUCGGCCAAGCUGGUGUACGGCCAGCCCCUGUGCGUCCCGGGGGAGUUUCUUCCAGAUGCCACGGCCCCGUGAUCAGUUUCACCCUUUUGUGAUUGGCUGAAAACGAGGGAGGCAUCUGAUUGGCUACAGAGAGUUCCUUGUUGAAAAAAAUGCAUUUGUGAAUCUAGCGACAUCAGGAGAGUCUCAAAAAUCCACACAUAAAUACAGACCAGUUCACACAAAAAUGCAAAUAAGUUCCCAAAUUAAAAACGUCUUGUAAAUACAAGUUUAACAGUUUGUAUAUAAAUGUAACAACAUCCAAAUACAUUGUGAUGAAAAUUGCAAAUAUUUUUUUAAUUAAUAUAUUUAUGGAUUUAUAUUACAUUUAUUUAAAACAAGGUACAUUUGUGUGUGGAUCAGAAAUGUGUUUAUGAAACUUAUUUUUGUUUAUGGAUUUAUUUUACAUUUAUACAUACCGAUAUCCAUUUAUGUGUGCAUUGAAAUGUAUUUGUGAGAAGAGAGUAAUUUAUAUAUAAAUCACAAAAUACAUUUGUGAAUCCUUCUCUGUGCAUUCAUUAUUAAUGAGAUUGUUCUGACCCUAUACAAUAGCGCCACCUUUGGGUGCAGUACCACAAAUCUGGGUAUAUGGGUAGAGGGGGG
ensembl:lncRNA